AUUGAACGCUGGCGGCAGGCCUAACACAUGCAAGUCGAGCGGAAGAAGGGAGCUUGCUCCUGGAUUCAGCGGCGGACGGGUGAGUAAAGCAUAGGAAUAUGCCUGGCAGUGGGGGAUAACGACUGGAAAAGGGCGCUAAUAACGCAUACGACGUGAGGGAGAAAGAGGGGGGGCGUCGGAAAGCACGCUAUCAGAUGAGCCUAGGUCGGAUUAGCUAGUUGGUGGGGUAAAGGCUUACCAAGGCGAGGAUUCGUAACUGGUCUGAGCGGGUGAGCAGUCACACUGGAGCUGAGACACGGUCCUGACUCCUACGUGAGGCCGCAGUUGGGAAUAGUGGACGAUGUGCGAAAUCCUGAUCCAGCCAUGCCGCGUGUGUGAAGAAAGUCUUCGUGUUGUAAAGCACUUUACGUUGGAGAAAGCGCAUUAAGUUAUUACCUUGCUUUUUUGACGUUACCAACAGAAGAAGCACCGGCUAACUUCGUG
rnacentral:rRNA from 1 species